CCUACGGGGUGCUGCAGUGAGGAAUAUUGGUCAAUGGACGCAAGUCUGAACCAGCCAUGCCGCGUGCAGGAAGACGGCUCUAUGAGUGGUAAACUGCUUUUGUACGAGGGUAAAUCCCGAUACGUGUAUCGGGUUGAAAUUAUCGUACGAAUAAGGAUCGGCUAACUCCGUGCCAUCAGCCGCGGUAAUACGGAGGAUUCAAGCGUUAUCCGGAUUUAUUGGGUUGAAAGGAUGCGUAGGCGGUUAGAUAAGUUAGAGGGGAAAUCCCGGGGCUCAACGCCGGCACUGCCUCUGAUACUGUCGGGCUAGAGUUUAGUUGCGGUAGGCGGAAGGUAUGGUGUAGCGGUGAAAUGCAUAGAGAUCAGACAGAACACCGAUUGCGAAGGCAGCUUACCAAACUACGACUGACGUUGAGGCACGAAAGCGUGGGGAGCAAACAGGAUUAGAUACCCCUGUAGUC
rnacentral:rRNA from 1 species